AAUGGAGAGUUUGAUCCUGGCUCAGGACGAACGCUGGCGGCGUGCUUAAUACAUGCAAGUCAAGGAGAACGUUUUCUUCGGAAAACUAUUAAACUGGCGAACGGGUGAGUAACACGUAGGCAACCUGCCUUGGAGAUGGGGAUAACCUCGGGAAACCGGGACUAAUACCGAAUAAUGCAGCGGCUUCUUUGGAAGAUGUUGUUAAAGCGGGCUUCGGCUCGCACUUCAAGAUGGGCCUGCGUCCGAUUAGCUUGUUGGUAAGGUAACGGCUUACCAAGGCGAUGAUCGGUAGCUGGUCUGAGAGGAUGAUCAGCCACACUGGGAUUGAGAUACGGCCCAGACUCCUACGGGAGGCAGCAGUAGGGAAUUUUGCGCAAUGGACGAAAGUCUGACGCAGCAACGCCGCGUGAUCGAUGAAGCUUCUAGGAGUGUAAAGAUCUGUCGUGAGGGAAGAAAAAUCUGGAUGUAAAUAAUAUUCAGACUUGACGGUACCUUACAAGAAAGCAC
rnacentral:rRNA from 1 species